GCCGGCCUGAGAGGGUGAACGGCCACAUUGGGACUGAGACACGGCCCAAACUCCUACGGGAGGCAGCAGUGGGGAAUCUUCCGCAAUGGGCGAAAGCCUGACGGAGCAAUGCCGCGUGAAUGAAGAAGGCCUUCGGGUCGUAAAAUUCUGUCCUUAUUGAAGAGAGGUUCAUGUGUAAACAAUGCAUGAAUAGGACGGUAGAUAAGGAGGAAGCCCCGGCUAACUACGUGCCAGCAGCCGCGGUAAUACGUAGGGGGCGAGCGUUGUCCGGAAUCACUGGGCGUAAAGGGCGCGUAGGCGGCCUAGUAAGUCAGAUGUGAAAAGUGAGGGCUCAACCCUUAGAGUGCAUCUGAUACUGCUAGGCUUGAGUACAGAAGAGGAAAGCGGAAUUCCUAGUGUAGCGGUGAAAUGCGUAGAUAUUAGGAGGAACACCAGUGGCGAAGGCGGCUUUCUGGGCUGAAACUGACGCUGAGGCGCGAAAGCGUGGGGAGCAAACAGGAUUAGAUACCCUGGUAGUCCACGCCGUAAACGAUGGGUACUAGGUGUCGGGGGUAUCGAUACCCUCGGUGCCGGAGUAAACACAAUAAGUACCCCGCCUGGGGAGUACGAUCGCAAGAUUGAAACUCAAAGGAAUUGACGGGGGCCCGCACAAGCGGUGGAGCAUGUGGUUUAAUUCGACGCAACGCGAAGAACCUUACCAAGACUUGACAUCCUGCUGACGGAUUGGGUAAUGCCGAUCGUUCUACUUCGGUAGACAGCAGAGACAGGUGGUGCAUGGUUGUCGUCAGCUCGUGUCGUGAGAUGUUGGGUUAAGUCCCGCAACGAGCGCAACCCUUGUCUUUAGUUGCCAGCAUUAAGUUGGGCACUCUAAAGAGACUGCCGGUGACAAACCGGAGGAAGGUGGGGAUGACGUCAAAUCAUCAUGCCCCUUAUGUCUUGGGCUACACACGUGCUACAAUGGUCGGUACAAAGGGCAGCGAGACCGCGAGGUGGAGCGAAUCCCAAAAAGCCGAUCCCAGUUCGGAUUGCAGGCUGCAACCCGCCUGCAUGAAGUCGGAAUCGUGGACGUGUUAAAGCAAUGUUUAAUGAACGUAAUAGCAAAAUUUCAGAAGCAGGACCUUCUGCUCCAGCUCUUAUUUUAGGUUUGAACGGUGCUCCGCAGGCAGGAGAUGUAUUUCAUGUCAUGGAAUCAGAACAAGAAGCCCGGGA
rnacentral:rRNA from 1 species